rnacentral:sRNA from 1 species
GAACAAUUCAAUGACAUCAUUUUAGUUGACAUCCAGGAAACACACAAGCCAGCAUCUAGGAAGAUUCUUUCAGCUUUCAAAUGGGUGUUGGAUUAUUGUCCCGGAACACAUUACAUCAUCAAGGUGGAAGAAGACUCAUUCAUUGACCUGCCCAUAUUGCUGGGGGUCUUGGCCUACCAAGAUUUGACCAACAUGAUCUUCGGGGCAGUG